rnacentral:rRNA from 1 species
CAGUAGCCGCGGUAAUACGAAGGGUGCAAGCGUUACUCGGAAUUACUGGGCGUAAAGCGUGCGUAGGUGGUGGUUUAAGUCCGUUGUGAAAGCCCUGGGCUCAACCUGGGAAUUGCAGUGGAUACUGGAUCACUAGAGUGUGGUAGAGGAUAGUGGAACGUCCGGUGUAGCAGUGAAAUGCGUAGAGAUCGGAAGGAACAUCUGUGGCGAAGGCGACUAUCUGGGCCAACACUGACACUGAGGCACGAAAGCGUGGGGAGCAAACAGGAUUAGAUACCCGUGUAGUCCAUGUCUCUUAUAC